rnacentral:rRNA from 1 species
GAUCCUGGCUCAGGAUGAACGCUGGCGGCGUGCUUAACACAUGCAAGUCGAGCGAAGCACUUAGGAAAGAUUCUUCGGAUGAUUUCCUAUUUGACUGAGCGGCGGACGGGUGAGUAACGCGUGGGUAACCUGCCUCAUACAGGGGGAUAACAGUUAGAAAUGACUGCUAAUACCGCAUAAGACCACAGCACCGCAUGGUGCAGGGGUAAAAACUACCGGUGGGUAUGAGAUGGACCCGCGU